rnacentral:rRNA from 1 species
UACGUAGGGUCCGAGCGUUGUCCGGAAUUAUUGGGCGUAAAGGGCUCGUAGGCGGUUUGUCGCGUCGGGAGUGAAAACACGGGGCUUAACCCCGUGCCUGCUUCCGAUACGGGCAGACUAGAGGUAUGCAGGGGAGAACGGAAUUCCUGGUGUAGCGGUGAAAUGCGCAGAUAUCAGGAGGAACACCGGUGGCGAAGGCGGUUCUCUGGGCAUUACCUGACGCUGAGGAGCGAAAGCAUGGGGGAGCGAACAGG